CUUCAGGUUCUCUUGCAGGAUGGUGUCCUUCACAGCGUGAAACACGAAGCGGAUGUUCUCGGUGUCUAUGGCGGUGGUGAAGUGGUGGAAGAGUGGCUUACUGCGAUUCCGUCUCUUCCGGUCGAAACACUGGACCAGGAGGUCCAUCUUGUUGAGGAACAGGAUGAUGGAGACGUUGAAGAAGAGCUUGUUGUUAACGAUGGUCUCAAAGAUGUUCAUGGACUCCACCAGGCGGUUGGUGCGCCUGUCUUCCAUGAGGACCUGGUCGUACUCACUGGACGAGACCAUGAACAGGAUCGACGUGAUCCCAUCAAAGCACUGGAACCACUUCUGGCGCUGAGACCGCUGGCCGCCCACAUCCACCAUCUUGAAAGGGAUUUUUUUGAUGACAAAGUCAUGCUCCACGAUGCCCUUGGUGGCCUUCCUCGCCAGCAGGAUGUCCUGCUUGCUAGGAAAGUAAUUCUGUAAAAUAGGAUAAGGGAAUUCAGGAGAGGAAGAACAUGAGAAAACAAGAACAAAAAGAUGGGGUGGAAGGAAAGAGAGUUACAGUGACUUUUGAGAGAAGCUGAACCAAAUACCAGAAGCAACUUUCAAUUACAAAAAUAUAAACUCACCAUGAAACAAAAAGUGAAGGAACUAAACAGCUCAUUUCAAAAUGAACAAAGGCUCGUCAGGCUGAGGAGGGGUUAUCAGAAUCUUCACUGUUAGGCCCCACUGCAACCUCAUCGGCUUUCUUCUCCACAGGAGACUUCCAUCUUUCUUUUCCCUGCACCAUAGCUACCUUUCUGUUUUUCUAACUUCUAGGGCACACGCAUUCCAAACCCUUACUAUGAACCGAUUUAACUUAGGUUUUGCAACGCUAUUUAAAUUUAGCCUGCAAUAUAUUUAAUAUGUUAUUCUUGGAGAACUCUUAAAGUGUUUAGCAACACACGGGCAACUGUGGUCACUCAAACCACUUUGAUCCUGCACUAUUAACAAUCCUCCAGUGAUUACUGCACACCAGCACUCAUGCAUCAUCCUUGCCAAAGAUCCAAACGGGGCUGAAGCCUCUAGCGCCAGCUACCAAUUCAUGAGGCACAGAGCGGGGAGAGAAACACCUUCAACAACACUGCAGGGAUGGAAGAGCAAAACUGAGACGCGAGAAACCCUGCAGGAGAAAUAAUGCACUUACUCCAACAAAUAAACUGAAAGGAGGAAAAAAGACGGAAGGAGAAACCUAAAGAAUAAAAGAAGUCUAAGUGCCAUGGACCAGUGGCAAUGGAUGGACCGUAAUAGGAUGUUGACUCAAACUACUGAAAUAAAGCAGCAGCCACAAGAAGACACUAACGAGACAGCUGGGAAAGUCUCAAAACCCACUUGAUAUUAAGGAAUUAUCGCUAAUUUUUUAGGAGCAAUAAUGGCAUUGCGGUCACCUGACACCACAAACACGGCUCAUGAGGAUGGCGAAAGCCCUCACCGCUUGGGCUGCUUUGGUCUCCACACAAAUGUUUUCUAAUCCUGGAUCACAGACUCCUGGGGUGGGGGUCUUACUCACCAGCUGGCCAAUCCGGUCCAAGUUAUCCAGGAAGUACUUCACUGAUUCACCCUGUCGUGGAGGAAAUAGAGUCACAACUCAGUCUAGGUUGAGGAACCCUGAUUUGGUAAAAUGACUGCUACUUUGCCUCUGUGUAAACAGGAAGGCAAAGUAAACAGGCUAAUAGCAUACAUGUAUUUUUUUAAAUUAAAAACACAAUUAAAAUUUAAAAAUGCAAUUUCUCUAGCUCUGA